UGAGGAAUAUUGGACAAUGGAUGGAAAUCUGAUCCAGCCAUGCCGCGUGCAGGAAGACGGCCUUAUGGGUUGUAAACUGCUUUUAUACGGGAGCAAUAAGGGUUACGAGUAAUCCGAUGAGAGUACUGUAUGAAUAAGGAUCGGCUAACUCCGUGCCAGCAGCCGCGGUAAUACGGAGGAUCCGAGCGUUAUCCGGAAUUAUUGGGUUUAAAGGGUGCGUAGGCGGCCAUUUAAGUCAGCGGUGAAAUUUUGCAGCUUAACUGUAACAGUGCCGUUGAUACUGUUUGGCUAGGAUUUGGUUGUAGUGUGCGGAAUGUGUGGUGUAGCGGUGAAAUGCUUAGAUAUCACACAGAACACCGAUUGCGAAGGCAGCACACUAAGUCAUUAUUGACGCUGAGGCACGAAAGUGUGGGGAUCAAAC
rnacentral:rRNA from 1 species